CCACGCCCUCGCCGGCUACAUCAAACGGCCUUUCCUCACGAUUGAAAGCAAGCCUUGCUGUGGGGCGCUUGUGAUCGCCCCCUCGCUUCUCGCUCUCUGCUCUGCUUUUCUCCUUGUGUCUCGCUUUCUUCGUCCAGCAUUCGCUUAUGACUGUCCCUUCAGUAUUGCGUGGCGUUGAUUCACAUACUCAAACAGAGAAAAAGAUACGUUCACUUCACAGGAGGCCCAGAGGAGGCCAGUGACGUGGCGAGGCGGCAGAAACGCGUCUCUCCACGCAUGAUGAGCCCCCCCGCGGAGUCGGAAUUCCUCGACGGCGACGCGUACUUGCGCUUUUGCCGUGCUCGAAGAGGCAGCGUAGAGAAGGCAGCUGGGAUCCAGAAACGUACAAGCGAGUGAAGGAAGCGUGAAGGCCGAGCACGCUGACCGCGAUGAAGUGAGGGGAGACAAUGCCGCACUUAACGAUGAUGUAUGGUGGCCGCUGAAAGUGAGGCCACCCUGCGCUUGCCAUGGCACGGGCCGAACCAAAGGGACUGCUCAUGAAGGCAUGCAAGAGGGGCCUGCACGGCGUGCCGGAGGAGACGCCGCGCAAAGGCAAUGACCUCGAUCACGCGAAUCUCCGACUUGACCUACAUGCCGAAGGGGAAGCGAGAAAGAGCACACCGGAAGGCCAAAAGUGAUCUCACAGAGUGGAAGAAGGCGGUGCAGUCUGUGCUUGACUACUACCCCGGAGAGGCUCGAGGAGAUGCUGCUCUUCCACCAAUUCUUCCUGAUGACACGAAUGCUCGCGUUUGUUCGCUUCAAUCUUGACCUCACCACGCGUGGGACGGUGCACAUCGUCGGCAUCGCCGUGAAGGAGCUGGCGAAGUUCGUAGAUCGCGAUCAGCUUUCAGAGCUGUGCGAGGGAGUCAUGCCGGGUACGGUGACGACGCACUUCCGUGAGUUGCCCAACUUGAACACGCCGAGUGCGAACGAGAUGUGGACUCGCUUUUUGUUUUCUUCUUUAAUAGUGUUUGGUUGUUGCAUGGAGAGCGAGUGGCAGCUGCCUCACAAGCACGCACCUUCUCAAAGGUCGGCCCGUGUGCUGCGUAACGCUCGUGAUAGAAGGCAUUACUACAGUGCAUUUCCGUUUUGUUUCUUGUUUUCUCCUUGCGCGGGUCUCGGAGCGGUGCAAGCCAUGCUUCGACGUUGCGCCUUUUUUCGUUCUUCUCUUUUGGCUAUUUCGACUCACCGACCCCACCCCAACGCCGCCCUUGAAGUGAGCGACUACAGAAAAGGGGAGCCAACAAACGCAUUCACGCUCUCUCUCAUCGCUUGCCCGUCAAGGAGCGGCAAGCAAGGAAUGUUUGGCAAGAACACGGCAGUGCGCACAUGCAGCCACAUCUGCAAGGACGUCCAACACGUGAAAAGCAUCACGCACACAAUAAGUGCGAAAAAGAAAACAAGAGAGAGCGAAGCAGCGUAAGGCAUCACAAACCCCUCUGCGUCCCGCCCGCACCUCUUUCUACGUUCCUUUACGCUUUAUGAUCAGUGUGCUCCUUUUUCCUUUUUUUCUCGUGUUACUUUAUUCUGGUGUGUGUGUGUGUGCUUUUUGUUGUCUCAGCCACCAACUACAUCCUGCUCACCAGCUCGUAUUCGGUGUGCGGCGAUGCUCGCGGGCGUGUGUGUCUGAGCGGCCCCACGCGUAUGGCAUUGGAUGUGCGCGUCUUCGUUUGAGCUGCACACGCACACAUAAUCAACUG
rnacentral:misc_RNA from 1 species